rnacentral:rRNA from 1 species
CCUACGGGGGGCAGCAGUGAGGAAUAUUGGUCAAUGGCCGGAAGGCUGAACCAGCCAUGCCGCGUGAAGGUCAGUGCCCUAUGGGCGUUAAACUUCUUUUGUGCGGGAGCAAUAAUGGUCACGUGUGGCCAGACGAGAGUACCGUACGAAUAAGCAUCGGCUAACUCCGUGCCAGCAGCCGCGGUAAUACGGGGGAUGCAAGCGUUAUCCGGAUUUAUUGGGUUUAAAGGGUGCGUAGGCUGUGAGGUAAGUCAGCGGUGAAAUGCCCCCGCUCAACGGGGUGAAGUGCCAUUGAUACUGCCAUGCUGGAAUGCGGAUGCGGUGGGAGGAAUGUGUGGUGUAGCGGUGAAAUGCAUAGAUAUCACACAGAACACCGAUUGCGAAGGCAUCUCACGAAUCCGCGAUUGACGCGGAUGCACGAAAGCGUGGGUAUCAAACAGGAUUAGAUACCCCGGUAGUC